rnacentral:lncRNA from 1 species
CUCCCCCUUUCAUCAGAAUCGGUCAUCUGCGCGUCCCUUGGCCAGGACCAGACAGAGCCUCCGAGGAAGGACCCUGGGUGACUGAGAAGGGUCCCCUGUGACUGUGAGCCUCUGGAACUCAGGAGGAGAAGAGCGUGCCUGGGACAACCUGGAGGCGACCUCGCCUAAGAGGGAAGCGCACCCCUCAGUUGUAAGCGCAGUAUGGAUAAUUCCCGAUUGUGUCUGGAGCCUGAACACAUCUCCCCCCUGCUGUCAAUGACGGAGAGACUUGGCGAUGGCCACGCCCAGGGAACCUGUACUGAAGGCCAGGGAAGGUCAGGGGUGGAGCUUCUUUCUGAAAUCGCUUCCCAUGUCCAGGUGCUUUCUCUGUUCACCUGGGCUUUGAUUUUCCAAAGCUAGAAAAUUAUCUGCACGUUCCCACGGCUCUCCUGAGAUAAUGAGCAAAGAAUGCCCCAGGGGCAGGCAGCCUGCUGGUUAGGAUGCCCCCAACCUAUGUCAAAGUGCCUGGGUUCAAGUGCUGGCUCCCAACUCCAGCUUCUGCUAAUGUGCACCCUGGGGAGCAGCAAUGAUGGCUCAAGUGCGCGGGUCCCUGCCACCCAUGUGAGACUGAGUUCCCAGGUGCCAGCUU